GGGCGAGGGCAGGGUGGCUGGGCGGGGCGAGAGGAACGGAACUGAUGGGGCGGGGCAGCAGGACUGGGCGGGGCGGAGAGAGAAGCGUGGAGCCGGCCGGACUGCCAUUGCGUUACGUCAGGGCCCACAAGCGAGCGCAAAAAUCGGUGAAGAGGAAGAGUUUAAUGCCUAGGUGGGGGUCUGUGUUCCCUCCAGGCAAGGGAUUGUGACUGUCUGGACCAACGCAGUGUGGUGGAAGUGAGAUCUCUAACCCAGCCACGUCUUCCCAUGUGGAGAGGACCUGAGGUCUUCUGACAGCGGCCAAAACCAACUUGCCAGCUCUGGGAGUGAACACCUUGGAAGUAUAUCCUCCAAAGUCAAACCUUCAAAUGACUGCAGGCCCAGCUGACAUCGGACUACAACCUCAGGAGAGACCCGGAACCAGAACCACCCAGCUCAUCUGCUCUUCAAUUCACAAUCCACAGACACCAUGAAAAAUAUAAAUGACUAUUGUCAUUUUAACCCACUAAAUCUUGUGGUGAUUUUUUAUGCAGCCUUUAUUAGAUCACUAGAUCACUAAUAAGGGACAGGAGUGGAGCAGAAAAGGGGCCGUUUCAGAACCCCCCAAAGUGUGGAGCUUAGAACAGGGGCCUCUUUGCCUGGAUCUAAGGGCAGUACUGAUGAAAGGAUAUCAAAGUUUUGUUUGUUUCAGUAUCUAGCUAUUUCCUAGGGAAGGAUGAGCUCAUUUAUACAAAAAGAGGAAGCUGGAGGACUGAUUAGGGUAUCUGACACCAGCUGUAGCAAAAGAGCUCUUUAUCUGGAUAUAAUAUAAAUAAAUACACUAAAAUGUCAUAA